rnacentral:lncRNA from 1 species
CGCGCCACCGCGCGAUUACUAGCUGUCAAAAGAGUCCUCAGAAGUGUCCUGAGCGGUCGCAGGGUAAUGACGUCGGCCGUAUCGGGGAUGCUGGAACCUGCGGUUGAGUGAGAAACCGGCGCCACCGCCUGCGUCUUGGUCUCGGGCUGGUGGCCAGCGGGGUCUGGGCUGUGGUUUUACCCAGCUCCUUUGCGAAGCUGCUGUCCUUUCCUCAACGUUACCACCCGGCUGGGCAGCCUACCCUCGGUCAGUACGUCCUGGCAAGAGCUGCUUCGGGCGUGGCGUUCGUGUCGCGGGGACCUCGGCUCAGAAGCGAGGGAAGAGCAGCCCUCAGAGGAGCGGCGACCGCGCUCACCGGGAGCCCGGGUUGGGAGAGGGCUCCCCAGGAGGGGUGUGAGCUCCGAACGAGAAAGAACGCCACCGCCUCGUGGGGUCUCUUCCUAAUGUGCAGAUUCCAAAUCUCUACAAUGCUGCAAAAGAGCAGCAACAGGUGUGCACCUUCCAAGCUUGCAACAGACCACAUUCAGAAGCUUGAUUUCCUGUUGUUCUGGGAAUAUCUGGAUCAGAGGUAACAUGGUUCACUAGGACUCCUCAGCUUCACCCAGUGUCCAUUUCACCUCCCCCGGCCUUCCAAUGUCUCUUCUUGCAGAUUUCUCCAAGCCACUCUCCCCUUCAUCUCCUCCACCCCCAGGACCCAACUCCUGCCCCUCCCACCCUAGCCCCUGUUCUCCCUGCCCAUCUCCUACCCCACUGGAGUGGCCUUUCAUCAAACCUAAACCAAAGAAACCAACAGACCUUGCUGUCACCACUACUCCGGGACCUGGAAGUUAAAGCGAGGGAGAGACGGUGAAACACAGAAAGCAGAACGCCUUCUGUUCUUCCACAACACAGGGUUUGUGGACGUGGCCACUAUAAGAACUCGCACUGCGUGCUGAUUAUACUCCUCAGCACAAUUCAUUUCUUAAACUUUUUAGAAUAAUUUAAAAUUUACAAAAAGUUGCAAAAAUAAAAACCAG